rnacentral:rRNA from 1 species
UACAGAGGUCUCAAGCGUUGUUCGGAUUCAUUGGGCGUAAAGGGUGCGUAGGUGGCGCUGUAAGUCGGGUGUGAAAUUUCGGAGCUUAACUCCGAAACUGCAUUCGAUACUGCGGUGCUUGAGGACUGGAGAGGAGACUGGAAUUCAUGGUGUAGCAGUGAAAUGCGUAGAGAUCAUUUGGAACGCCAAAGGUGAAAACAGGUUGCUGGGAGUGUGCUGACGCUGAGACACGAAAGCCAGGGGAGCGAACGGG